ncrna:unclassified sequences c-di-GMP-I-GGC riboswitch
CCCAUCAAGGGUAAGCCCGGCAAAAUCCGGGGGAGCGAAGCUAAGGGAUCUGAGACGGUUAAUCUGCUAUGGUAGCCCGGCUGCUGGGA